UGGACUGGACGGCUCGGGCUGCCCGCGGGCUGCCAGAACGACCCAAGGCGAUUUUUGUCAGGCUGCUCUCUGGAAGUUCUCUUGCUAGCAGACGACUGGAAGAGUGCCCCAAAGUCCUCAUGAAGUCGAUUUAAUAGGCAAGUACGUCGUUCUCGGUGCUCAAGAGGACUGCAUACUUGUUGAAUAUGGCACCGAAUACGAUGGAAAGAGCAAGUGCAUAUUGUGGGGACUUGCAAGCGAAGGGCACAAAAACGAGACGGUGUGUUUUAGUCUGUUAGAAAAAUUGUGCACCCAAAAUUUGUACGACGUUGUGGAAAAAAAGGACGCAUGCAUAGAAUUUGAUGAGAGAGAUAAAAGACUGAGUGAAAAAGCCAAACAAGAAGAGGAUGCCAAGCUCUUAGGGGAAGGUUAAGAA